rnacentral:misc_RNA from 1 species
CAUUGUCUGGCUCAAUAAUUUCUUUAUAAUUCAUCCUUUCGACAUAAUCUUGCUUUUCAAUAUCAUUUUGUACAACAUAUAUUGCCUCCUUAAGGCCAUGGAACGAUAUCCUUCUAUCUUUGAAAAANNNNNNNNNNAAAAAAAUCCACAAGAGGACAGAGAGGAGGGCUUUUGUUGGAUUUAUUAAAAUCUCAUUGGAACUAACCCAAACCCAAUAUGCAGACACUUGACUCCCCAAUAACCCCAGUCAGAUUACAAGCAAAUACAAGAGCUUGCAAUUCAUCUCAAUUGUGCAGUAACACGUAAUACUAGCAAAACAG